AUUCCUUCCAUGAGUGUGGAGCCUGAGACCCAGGAAACACUGGUUUGCAUCCCUGCUGGGUUGAGUUCCCCUGCUUCUCCUUAAUAUAGAAAUGUCUUUUCAUGCCCAACAUUUUUCCAAUCAUAAUGCCAAGGAAAAGCACCGACCUCACGCAGGAGAAGGAAGCAUCGUACCCGCACCCUUGUGCAUUCCUUCCCAGCUCAUUCUCCUGCUUACGGGAGCCCACAGGUCAGCCAAGGGAAGAGCUGAGCCAACUGGUCCUUCCACACUCAGUCAUUCAACCUCUCUGUGAAUUCCCAAGUUUUCUGGAAGUUCUUGCUGAUCUCAGCGAUCCUCAAUGGCAGGGCAACAAAGUGCAGGAAGACUCUCAAAGCUGCUUUCUGCCUCCCAAGGCAUCAGAAGUCAGCGCUCCUGGGACUACUCCCACUGGGAAGGAUGCAAUGCAGGGUCAGGAUUCCCCGGGUGAGGAUAAAUCCUGCAGCCUCAGAUCUGCAGCCCUGCUACCAGGCAUGGAGAAGCCAAGCACCCAGUCAAGGUGA
rnacentral:lncRNA from 1 species